UUGCGACCACAUCACGUUGGAAAACCGGUUCCCGUACGAUCACUGAAGUCAAGGAACUCCGAACCAGGUCAGUAAUUUGAUGUGUGAACGCUUGAGAAUAUCAGGUGCUGUAA